rnacentral:rRNA from 1 species
GAUACAGGGUGACAGCCCCGUACACAAAAAUGCACAUAUUGUGAGCUCGAUGAGUAGGGCGGGACACGUGGUAUCCUGUCUGAAUAUGGGGGGACCAUCCUCCAAGGCUAAAUACUCCUGACUGACCGAUAGUGAACCAGUACCGUGAGGGAAAGGCGAAAAGAACCCCGGCGAGGGGAGUGAAAAAGAACCUGAAACCGUGUACGUACAAGCAGUGGGAGCACGCUUAGGCGUGUGACUGCGUACCUUUUGUAUAAUGGGUCAGCGACUUAUAUUCUGUAGCAAGGUUAACCGAAUAGGGGAGCCGAAGGGAAACCGAGUCUUAACUGGGCGUUAAGUUGCAGGGUAUAGACCCGAAACCCGGUGAUCUAGCCAUGGGCAGGUUGAAGGUUGGGUAACACUAACUGGAGGACCGAACCGACUAAUGUUGAAAAAUUAGCGGAUGACUUGUGGCUGGGGGUGAAAGGCCAAUCAAACCGGGAGAUAGCUGGUUCUCCCCGAAAGCUAUUUAGGUAGCGCCUCGUGAAUUCAUCUCCGGGGGUAGAGCACUGUUUCGGCAAGGGGGUCAUCCCGACUUACCAACCCGAUGCAAACUGCGAAUACCGGAGAAUGUUAUCACGGGAGACACACGGCGGGUGCUAACGUCCGUCGUGAAGAGGGAAACAACCCAGACCGCCAGCUAAGGUCCCAAAGUCAUGGUUAAGUGGGAAACGAUGUGGGAAGGCCCAGACAGCCAGGAUGUUGGCUUAGAAGCAGCCAUCAUUUAAAGAAAGCGUAAUAGCUCACUGGUCGAGUCGGCCUGCGCGGAAGAUGUAACGGGGCUAAACCAUG